rnacentral:rRNA from 1 species
UCCUACGGGAGGCAGCAGUGAGGAAUAUUGCGCAAUGGGCGAAAGCCUGACGCAGCGACGCCGCGUGGAGGAUGUAGGUCUUCGGGUUGUAAACUCCUGUCAUUUGGGAACAAGUGUCGGUACUUAACUGCUACCGGCUUGAUAGUACCAGAAGAGGAAGGGACGGCUAACUCUGUGCCAGCACCCGCGGUAAUA